ACUGGCAGGCUGACCGCUUCUGUUGAGGACCAUAUGAGGUGUUCUCCAGGGAGGCUGCAGACGGCUUGUGGGGGACUUGGAUUCUGUUAGGAGUAGGCACAGGGGACAAGAUCCAAGGAAAGAAGAUGGAUGGAUGGAUGAAUAACUGGUGGUUCUAGAUGGUGAGUUGGUUUCAUGGGGACAAGCCCAUUGCUGUACUUUCCAUCCUGUGGAAUGAGUUCCUUGACCAGAAGCAAUGCCGUGCAGAACUGUCAUGGUGGAUAAGACAUUCUGUGAGUCUAAGAACGGUAGUGCUUGCAGCCAUGUCGUGAACAGGAAAGGCAAAUUCAUAUCCAGAACAUGUGUCUGCUCCAGUGAGGGUAGAUCCUGCCACCUCCAUUACGAAGUGGUCUGAUGGCUGCUCCUGUGGCAUAUGCAGGUUCCCAGUCUAGGGGUCGAAUCAGAGCUGUAGCCACUGGCCUACACCAGAGCCAUAGCAACGCGGGAUCUGAGAAGCAUCUGUGACCUACACCACAGCUCACGUCAACACUGGAUCCUUAACCCACUGAGCAAGGCCAGGGAUCGAACCUGCGACCUCAUGGUUCCUAGUCGGAUUCAUUAGCCACUGCACCACGAUGGGAACGCCAACUGAAUGUUUUAAUAUGUUUUUUUAUCUCUGUUACUGGUUUAUUAGUUGUAUUUCAUAUUCAUAUUUUUAUGGGUUGCUCAAGCAUUUUUAGUGUACAGCUUUAUCAGUCUAUCUGUAGAUAAUACUAUGUUAGUACGAGAACUUUAUAACAGUAAAUUUCCACUUCCUCCAUUCUGCUUUAUGCAUUGUUUUCUUACAUUUUAAUUCUACAUGUAUUACAAACCCAACAUAUACUAUUAUUGUUUGUACUUUAAACAAUUACCCUAAAGAGUAAAAUAUGAAAAAAAAAUCAUGUUUAUCAUUCUACUACUUGUCUUUCUUUUGUGUUCAUACUAAUUUCCAUGUGUUAUCAUUUGCCUAUGCCCAAAGGACUUUACUCAAUAUUUUUUGCAGGGCAGGUGAAUUCUCUCUUCUUUUUCUGAAACAAUCUUUAUUGCUUCCAUUUUCAAGUAUUUCCACAGGGUAUAGAAUUCUGUGUUCAUAUUUUUAAAUUUCUUCUUUCUAUCCUUUAAAGAUGCUGGGAGAUUUUUGAUUACUUAUUCAAUCCCCUUACUAGUUACAGAUCUACUCAUAUUUUCCAUUUUCUCAUAUUGUUAAGAUGUCGAUACUACACAAAGCAAUCUACAGACUCAAAUAAAAUUCCUAUCAAAA
rnacentral:lncRNA from 1 species